UGAGGAAUAUUGGUCAAUGGGCGAGAGCCUGAACCAGCCAUCCCGCGUGCAGGAUGACGGCCCUAUGGGUUGUAAACUGCUUUUCUGCUCCAAGAAACCUGAUUACGAGUAAUCAGUUGACGGUAGAGUAGGAAUAAGCAUCGGCUAACUCCGUGCCAGCAGCCGCGGUAAUACGGAGGAUGCAAGCGUUAUCCGGAUUCAUUGGGUUUAAAGGGUGCGCAGGUUGGAAUGUAAGUCAGUGGUGAAAUACUGCCGCUUAACGGUAGAACUGCCAUUGAUACUGCGUUUCUUGAGUAUGGUUGAGGUAGGUGGAAUGUGUUGUGUAGCGGUGAAAUGCAUAGAUAUGACACAGAACGCCGAUUGCGAAGGCAGCUUACUAAGCCAUUACUGACGCUGAGGCACGAAAGCGUGGGGAUCGAACA
rnacentral:rRNA from 1 species